AUUGAACGCUGGCGGCAUGCCUUACACAUGCACGUCGAACGGCAGCGCGGGGGCAACCCUGGCGGCGAGUGGCGAACGGGUGAGUAAUGCAUCGGAACGUGCCCAGUAGUGGGGGAUAGCCCGGCGAAAGCCGGAUUAAUACCGCAUACGCACUCCGGUGGCAAGCGGGGGACCGACAGGCCUCGCGCUAUUGGAGCGGCCGAUGUCGGAUUAGCUUGUUGGUGGGGUAAAAGCCUACCAAGGCGACGAUCCGUAGCUGGUCUGAGAGGACGACCAGCCACACUGGGACUGAGACACGGCCCAGACUCCUACGGGAGGCAGCAGUGGGGAAUUUUGGACAAUGGGGGCAACCCUGAUCCAGCAAUGCCGCGUGUGUGACGAAGGCCUUCGGGUUGUAAAGCACUUUUGGCGGGAACGAAACGGCGCUUGCUAAUACCAGGCGCUAAUGACGGUACUCGCAGAAUAAGCACCGGCUAACUACGUGCCAGCCGCCGCAGUAACAC
rnacentral:rRNA from 1 species